GAUGAAUAACGUAGCGAAAUGCGAUACGUAAUGUGAAUUGCAGAAUUCAGUGAAUCAUCGAGUCUUUGAACGCACAUUGCGCCCUCUGGUAUUCCGGAGGGCAUGCCUGUCCGAGCGUCAUUGCUGCCCUCAAGCACGGCUUGUGUGUUGGGCUCCGUCCCCCGAUCCCGGGGGACGGGCCCGAAAGGCAGCGGCGGCACCGCGUCCGGUCCUCGAGCGUAUGGGGCUUUGUCACCCGCUCUGUAGGCCCGGCCGGCGCUUGCCGAUCAACCAAAUUUUUAUCCAGGUUGACCUCGGAUCAGGUAGGGAUACCCGCUGAACUUAAGCAUAUCAAUAAGCGGAGGA
rnacentral:misc_RNA from 1 species